GAUGAAGAACGCAGCGAAAUGCGAUAAGUAAUGUGAAUUGCAGAAUUCAGUGAGUCAUCGAAUCUUUGAACGCACAUUGCGCCCUCUGGUAUUCCGGGGGGCAUGCCUGUUCGAGCGUCAUUAUAACCACUCAAGCUCUCGCUUGGUAUUGGGGUUCGCGGUUUCGCGGCCCCUAAAAUCAGUGGCGGUGCCUGUCGGCUCUACGCGUAGUAAUACUUCUCGCGAUUGAGUUCGAUAGGUCUACUUGCCAGUAACCCCCAAUUUUUACAGGUUGACCUCGGAUCAGGUAGGGAUACCCGCUGAACUUAAGCAUAUCAAUAAGCGGAGGA
rnacentral:misc_RNA from 1 species